GACGAACGCUGGCGGCGUGCUUAACACAUGCAAGUCGAACGGAAAGGCCCUGCUUGCAGGGUCCUCGAGUGGCGAACGGGUGAGUAACACGUGGGUGCUCUGCCCUGCACUUCGGGAUAAGCCUGGUAAACUGGGUCUAAUACCGGAUAGGAGCCAUUUUUAGUGUGAUGGUUGGAAAGUUUUUUCGGUGUAGGAUGAGCUCGCGGCCUAUCAGCUUGUUGGUGGGGUAAUGGCCUACCAAGGCGGCGACGGGUAGCCGGCCUGAGGGGGUGGACGGCCACAUUGGGACUGGGAUACGGCCCAGACUCCUACGGGAGGCAGCAGUGGGGAAUAUUGCACAAUGGGCGCAAGCCUGAUGCAGCGACGCCGCGUGGGGGAUGACGGCCUUCGGGUUGGAAACUCCUUUCGCUAGGGACGAAGCUUUUUGUGACGGUACCUAGAUAAGAAGCACCGGCUAACUACGUG
rnacentral:rRNA from 1 species